CGCAGGGGAGCGCCGGGGUUGAAAGAGGAGAGGGAGGGACGGCUGAGGAUGCGGAGCGCUCGGCUGGUGCCGUCAGCAGGUUACUUUGGACUGAAUGCUCCUUAACACCUGCUGCCUCCUUCCUCUUUCUCUUUUAAUAGGCAUUUCAACUGCUACGUAUUGGGUAGAAAGAAUGUCUGCGGAGAAGUAACAUAGCUGAUUUAUUUUGUGAAGCUACUGUGGUUGCUUUACCUUGUUGUCAGAAUCCACAUGGACAUGCAAUACUAGGUCACGAAUCCAGAGUGUUUUCUGAUGGGCCUUGAAGGAAAAUAAAACAAACAGAAAAACCCAACCGUGUUUGGUUUGCGCCCUUGGAAGGUCUGAGCUCUGUGGGAUGUAAUUUUAAAAUAUUUCCUAUGUUUUCUUUUACUUAGUCUCAAUACGUCAGGCUCAGCUAAACGAAGAACUAAAUUAAAACUAUCAUUUCAGCUCAUAAAUAACAGAUGUCUCACCCGUUUAAUUAUUUAUAGUCUUGAAUCUUUCAAAAAUGAAAAUGGCUAUAUACACAUUUUUAAUGUAGUUCUUGGUAAUUUGCUGCAUGAAUGAUAAGACUUGAGAUAAUCCCGGCACACAAACAUGAAAAAUAAAACUUUGACUGACUCGCUUA